UGAGCGUAAGCGCAGCGCAGGCGGUUUGCUUAAGUCAUGAUGUGAAAUCCCCCGGCUCAACCGGGGAGCUGUCAUUGGAUACUGGGAGACUUGAGUCUCGUAGAGGGGGGUAGAAUUCCAUGUGUAGCGGUGAAAUGCGUAGAUAUCUGGAGGAAUACCGGUGGCGAAGGCGGCUCUCUGGUCUGUAACUGACGCUCAGGUGCGAAAGCGUGGGGAGCAAACAGGAUUAGAUACCC
rnacentral:rRNA from 1 species